GAGUUUUCACUCUUAUCCUUCCACUCUGCCUGCUCUGCCAUCUCCACCUGAGACAAAGUCAUCGAACCACUCUGUGCUGCUUAAGCAGAUCCUGCCUCCCAAGAGCUGCACUUGUUUAGUGUGGAAAUAGUGGAGAAAGAAAGAGGGCCAGCCAGCACCACUCAAGAAAGGCUCCAUAGGAUGUUCAACUCUAGAGGAACAGAGGAUGAAGGACAAUCAGAUGACUGUUGGGUUUGGAGGGAAAAAAUCCAGCUACUAGUUAAGAGGAAACGGUGCUGGAUCCAAGGCUCAGUCUCGAGCCUUCUGGUCCAGGAUUUUGGGGGUG